rnacentral:rRNA from 1 species
ACAGCGAUAGCCUCAGUAACGGCGAGUGAAGCGGCUACAGCUCAAAUUUGAAAUCUGGCUCCCUUUGGGCGUCCGAGUUGUAAUUUGCAGAGGAUGCUUUGGCAUUGGCGGCGGUCUAAGUUCCUUGGAACAGGACAUCGCAGAGGGUGAGAAUCCCGUACGUGGGCGCCUGCCUUUGCCGUGUAAAGCUCCUUCGACGAGUCGAGUUGUUUGGGAAUGCAGCUCUAAAUGGGAGGUAAAUUUCUCCUAAAGCUAAAUACCGGCCAGAGACCGAUAGCGCACAAGUAGAGUGAUCGAAAGAUGAAAAGUACUUUGGAAAGAGAGUCAAAUAGCACGUGAAAUUGUUGAAAGGGAAGCGCUUGCAGCCAGACUUGCCCGCAGUUGCUCACCUAGGCUUUUGCCUGGGGCACUCUUCUGCGGGCAGGCCAGCAUCAGUUUGGGCGGUCGGAUAAAGGUCUCUGUCAUGUACCACCCCUCGGGGUGGCCUUAUAGGGGAGACGCAAUGCGACCAGCCCGGACUGAGGUCCGCGCAUCUGCUAGGAUGCUGGCGUAAUGGCUGUAAGCGGCCCGUCUUGAAACACGGACCAAGGAGUCUAACAUCUAUGCGAGUGUUUGGGUGUCAAGCCCGGGCGCGCAAUGAAAGUGAACGGAGGUGGGAACCUUUCGGGGUGCACCAUCGACCGAUCCUGAUGUCUUCGGAUGGAUUUGAGUAAGAGCAUAGCUGUUGGGACCCGAAAGAUGGUGAACUAUGCUUGAAUAGGGUGAAGCCAGAGGAAACUCUGGUGGAGGCUCGCAGCGGUUCUGACGUGCAAAUCGAUCGUCAAAUUUGGGCAUAGGGGCGAAAGACUAAUCGAACCAUCUAGUAGCUGGUUCCUGCCGAA